rnacentral:rRNA from 1 species
GAGUGAAACUCAAAGGAAUUGACGGGGACCCGCACAAGUAGCGGAGCAUGUGGUUUAAUUCGAAGCAACGCGAAGAACCUUACCUAAGCUGGACAUCCCAAUGACAUCUCCUUAAUCGGAGAGUUCCUUUCGGGGACAUUGGUGACAGGUGGUGCAUGGUUGUCGUCAGCUCGUGUCGUGAGAUGUUGGGUUAAGUCCCGCAACGAGCGCAACCCUUG